rnacentral:snoRNA from 1 species
UUUCAUGAUGAAUAUCCAGAUAGGGACAGCUUAUGCUACAAGCAUGUGAUGAGAGCUGGACGAAUAAUUUUAGUAGAUGCUUCGUGUUUUCUGAAA